rnacentral:rRNA from 1 species
UACGAAGGGUGCUAGCGUUGUUCGGAAUUACUGGGCUUAAAGGGUGCGUAGGCGGCGCGGAAAGUUGGGUGUGAAAUCCCUCGGCUUAACCGAGGAAUUGCGCUCAAAACUACCGUGCUCGAGGGAGAUAGAGGAAUGCGGAACUUACGGUGGAGCGGUGAAAUGCGUUGAUAUCGUAGGGAACACCGGUGGCGAAAGCGGCAUUCUGGAUCUCUUCUGACGCUGAGGCACGAAAGCUAGGGUAGCAAACGGG